CCUGGGCCACUGCCUCCCUUGGCGUGGCCCACCUCUCUCUCUCUGCUUUUUCUUUCCAUAUCAUCAGUAAGCUUUCUUGCAGUGGUUAAGACCUCCGAUUCUUCUUUGUAUCCUUACCAAGAACAGAGGCCCAUGGGAGGUGGGGUCUUCAGACUCUCCUCUGCUAACAUUUUGGUGCCAUGACUUGGGUUUUCUGUAAGUAAGAGAGAUCGUCUCCACAGAUCUCUACCACUCCUUUCCUUUGUGUGGGCACAAAGGACCUAAUCAUUUCUCUGCUCCUACUUUCUUUCUCAAUCCUCUAUCGGUUGAGCAGACUCUUGCUCCUGAUCUCCUCCCUGUCUGACCAUCACUCAAUCUGAGCCUGCCUCUUUGGACCAACACUGGAGAUUCAGAUGGGCCACUGGGCACAGAAAUGUCCCAAUCAAGAUAAACCACCUAAGACUGCCUGCUAUAAACGCCAUCAGCUAGGACACUGGGCAGCCCUAUGCCCCUCAAUCCAAAGGGACCGAGGACCAGAGGCUGCUACUCAGACUGCCCAAGACUGAGGAGGCCCCUCCAGUCGGCCCCAAAACAACAGAUCCACGACAUGGACUGGAACUGAGGGUACAAUUGGCUGUGGCCCAUAAGUCAACAUUUUCUUACUCAAUAUCGGGGCCGCCUGUUCUGCCUUGACUUCCUCCUCUGGACCCUUCUCCUCCCAGACCUGUACCACCAGGGGAGUCACCAGUGAGCCAAUCAGCAGGUCUUUUACCAUGCGCCUCUUCCGUGCCUGGGAAGGAUUUGGAUUCUCCCACAGUUUUUGACAUAUGCCUGACUGUCCCAGCCCACUCCCAGGGAGCGACCCACUACAAAAAUAGAAUGCCUCUCUCUCUCCCUCAAGGAGGGUCACAUGGACGCCAUCCAGGGGGCAACCUCUGGGAAAUUUCAUGCGCCACUAAUGAAGAUAAAAAUUCCUCCAGGCCAGGCUGGCUUCAACAAGUGAACCCACUGGCCCGAGACCAGGGAAAUUCCAGGAAAAGCUGAAAAUGCAACAUCAGUCACAACAGCUUUAAAGAACCCACAUAAAUUUCCCCCAAAGACACAAUAUCCCCUUAGGCCUGAAGCCCUCAUGGGACUUCAACCCAUCAUGUCCAAAUUCCUGUCCCACAGACUCCUUAUCGCCACAAAUUCACCAUGUAGUACCCCAAUAUUAGCAGUCAAGAAAAAGGACAGCACUUACUGCCUGGUCCAGGAUUUGUAUAUCAUUAAUGAGGCCAACAGUGAGGAAAC
ensembl:lncRNA